AUGUGAAUUCUUCUUCAAGGAAAGAUAAGACAUCCCCUGAAAAUAAGACCUAGCGCAUCUUUGGGAGCAAAAAUUAAUAUAAGACACUUCUCUUAUUUUCGGGGAAACACGGUAGUAGCAACAAUAAUAGAGAAAAACAAUAAAUGCAAUAAUACCAAUAAUAAUAGAGAAAAAUAAUAAAUGUACCAUAUAUUCUCGAGUGUAAGCUGACCCAAAUAUAAGCCAACCAGGACCCUCACCCAAGUAUAAGCCGAGGGGGGCUUUAAAAAAGGGCUGAAAAACUAGGCUUAUACUCGAGUAUAUACAGUACUGGAUGGCCAUCUGUCAGGAGGGCUUUGAUUGUGUCUUUCUGUAUGACAGAAGGAGGUUGGACUGGGUGGCAUUUUGAGGUCUCUCCAGAGCUAGUGGAAUGUAUACUGUAUGGCUAUCUGUCCGGAGAGCUUUAGUUGUGUCCCAGAACCCCAAGGAGAGUGAUGCUCCUUCAGACCAUCUCCAACGUAAGCCAACCCCGUGGUGAAGAGUUUUCCUUGCAAGAUGUGUCCGGAGGGGGUUGAGCCUUGCCUUCCUUUAUGGCUGAGUCUGAGUGGUGAUUUGAACUCAGGACUUCUAGUCUAAUGCACAUUAUUGCUAUGGCGCUCUGGCUUCAAAUCCCAAACACGUGCCUGCUCCUUUUGGUUGAGGAGGCUUGCCUUUCCUUGCGGAAGACUCCAAGGACGGUGAGCAACAGAUGGGGCCUGGCCAUGCGCUCCAUCACUGACAGGUGUGGGAGGAACGAACAUCAUGCGCGCAGCUGGGGCCUCUGGCUUGUUUUUACCUGUUUUCGCCUUUGGGAGACGGGGAGGAAAUAAAUUGCCUUGGAAAGCGGAGCUCCCUUCGUUCCCUGGUUCCUUCUGCCCUUCUUUGGAGUCGUGCGCAGCAGAGUCUCCAAAGUGUCGCCGAAUGAGACUGAUGCAUCCAGUGUCAGGACGGGAAAGGUGCAUGGAGAAGGGAUCCCUCCCCACCUGGGUUUGUGCGCCUUGUAUAGUGUGCUGCCAAUCAAACAGUUUAUUGUUCAAGUCCAAGUACAACAAGGUACAGGGUGCACAGGAUCGUUCUCUCAAAGCAAACAGGAAGCAAAGGAUAACAAACAAAGGCCAACUUCAUGCUCACACUAAGAGCAAAAACAAGGCCCCGGCCGCCUUUCCUUUGGAGGCUCCUGCGCUAAAACUCGCUGCGAGCGAAGCCACGCCGCGCACUUCGGAGGCCACGGCGCCAGGGAACGGACCCAUUCAGGAUCACAGGGCUGGCUUGGAUGUGGAAAGCCCAGCCCAGACAGCCACAAGUAAGACCCUGCGAAUGUUGUUGUGACCUAUGGUGCGGCCUCUGUGUCUGUGCAACCACACAAGGUUGCAAGAUAUUUGGGAUUAGGGCUUGCAUGUUUGUGGAGAGAGGACGGCGACCAAAGUGUGGGAAACACUUUUGGAGAGAGAAAGAGAUUUGGAUGAGUUGUUUACUUUCCAUAGAUCUAAAAGUCAAAGUAUGUACAGUAUGUUGGAUUGUUUGUAUCACAACUGCUCCUACAUAGCUUGAUAGACCUUGACCAAACCUGAUAUAUCUAAAUCUAGCAUAUCUAAAAGUCAACGUAUGUGUGAUGCCCCUACAUGGCUUGAUAGACCUUGACCAAACCUGGUGUAUCUAAAAGUCAACAUAUGUAUGUUGGAUUGUUUAUAUCCCA
rnacentral:lncRNA from 11 species